GUGGGCGGGGCUGGCGCAGGGGCGCAGGGUGCGGAGGUCACGUGGGCGGGGCGGGGCGGGACGCUGGGGAUUCUGACCUCAGAGGGGGUCGCGGAGCCGAGGUCCCAGCUGCGGCUGGCCAGGUGGCCAAAGCCCUGGUCUGGGAGGCACGCUUAGUUCCGGGCCAGCCUCCCUAGCAGGUGUGCGUGACCUAGCGCCGGAACUGUUGUUGCAGAGCUGUGAGGUGUGGGAGUUUGGGGCUGGCCCCUGAUGACUGCGAUGGGUAUGAUGAUGCACCCUUGUAAUGCCACUACUUGGGAGGCUGAGACAGGAGGAUUGCUACAAAUUCAAGGCCAGCCUGAACUACAUAACAAGAUCUUGUCUCAGGAAAAAUAUUUCUGAGGACUUCUAGAUCUGUCACAGGGCGACCUACAGCGGCUCCUCAAAAUGAAUUGUUCUGAAUCAGGAACAUCAGGCAACCAUGAAGCACAACUAAAGACACUCUCGAAAGAGGACUUCCAGAGCUGCCCCAAGAAGGAUAGGCGAGACCCUUAAGAUCCCGCAGGAGUAACAGCUGGGUCUCCUGGAGAUCCCCGGGAGCUCUGGAAAGCACCUCUCCAUUAUCCAUCAGUACUUCUCCCUCCUCAUUCCCAUUCACCCCUGCUGCUUCACUUCUGAGCCUUCCUGCCUUGAAACGCAACUCACACAGUAUAAAAGUGACCUCUCCCUCUCGCCAUUCCCUCCCUCUCACUCCCUCUCCCCCUACCCCAGGCUGAGUUUGAGUUUGACCAUCCUCCUGUGUUAGCCUCCCUGGCUAUGGAGAGUAUAGGUGUGGGCCACUUCCAGCAGAGUGUUUCUUCUUAAAUUGAACCCUUUGAUUUAUUUUGAAGUUUGUUGUUUGUUUCUUUUGAAAUGGGAUCUUGUUAUAUUGUCCAUGCUGGGCCUGAACUCUUGAUCCUCCUGCCUCAGCCCCCAGGUAGCUGGGAUCAUAGAGAUGUGCCUUAUAUUGUUUCCCAUAGUCCACCUCCCCCUCCACUUUGUGGUUAACCUUUUAAGGUGAUCAUUAUGUUUUAUUUUUACAAGGCCAAAAAUACCUUUUGUUUUCCCUUGCUUUUAAGCCUAAAAUGUCUCCAUCCCUUUGGAUAUAAGAUACUUAUAUUUUCAAAUAGUCUUUUCUUGCUUGAAGGUUUUUGUUUGUUUGCUUAUUUGUUUUUUGUUUUGUUUUGUUUUUUGUCUGAGACAGGAUCUUACUAUGCAGUACAGGCUGGCCUUCAGCUCACUUUGUAGCCUGUGCUGGUCUCGAACUUGCAACAAUCCUCCUUCCUCAGUGUCCCCCCCCCCCCCGAGUGCUGGGAUUUAUAGGGCUGCUUAAAGUUUUAUCACUUCAUGUGUUAAUCUUUUUGCAAUUUGUAUUGGCACAUGAUGUGGUAUAAAUGUUACUUUUAAAACAUAAUUCAUCAAGCGCCUGAUCCCUACUGAAUUUAAUCUCCUCUAUCAAUUAUACUGAUAAAAAAUACUUUUCCUCCUCUUCCUUGUUCUUCUCCCUCUUUUUUGUUUUUUGGUUUGGUUUGGUUUUAGUUUUUCACUGGUACAGGGGACUGAACCUAGUGCCCCUGCACUGAGCUACAGCCCCAGUCCUUAAUACUAUCUUUUACAAAAUUUUUAAAUUUUACUUUAAAGAGAAUAAAACCAAACCAAACAAUACAAAGCCAAUCAAAACAAAACAGUAAAAGUGACAUAGGACCUCAAAACAGAACAGUAGGUAGGAAAUAAAGGAUGGCCACCACAAUGUCCCCUGCCGUCCUCAAAGUAGCUGCUUAUGUCACCAGACAGAAUAAAAACAAAACAGAACAGAAUAAAACCAGGCAAAACAAAACAAUGAAAGCAACACGGGACUUUAAAACAAGAUAAUAGGAAAUCAACACAUUAUUUUUGAGACAGGGUCUUGCAAAAUUACAAUAAAUAAAUUCUCUAGAUUGGGCUCAAAUUUGUAAUUCUCUUGCCUCAGCCUUUCAGAGUGCGGAAAUUAUUAUAAUUACAAAUUCUUUUUGAAACAUCUAAUCUGAAAAAAAACCUAGUCUGAGUGAUCCUAAUCAUUUUAUUCUGUAAGGUUUGGUCAGUUCAGCUGGGCAUGGUAGUGCAUGCCUGUAAUUUCUGCACUUGGGAGGCAGAGGCAGGAGGAUCCUUGCAAAUUCAAGACCAGGCUGAGCUACAAAAUGAGCUGAAGGCCAGCCUGAACUGUGUAGUGAGACCAUCCCAAAAAGUAACAACAACAACAAAAAAAUUGGUCAGUUCCUGUCUUUCUGUAACCCACAUGAAAGAGAAGGCAUCCUCUGUUAGUUGGUUUUAAAUACCCUAUAAUACUUUCAUUCUCUUGAAUGGUUUUACACUGUCAUAUUGUGUUUGAUGCUAUACUAUACCAAGUUAUACUCAAAUAUUUCAGGGAGGGAGACACUAUGGUAGCUACUGUUGUGUCGGGUUAUCUUGUGGUGAAACACUAUGUUGCUUAAAUUGUUCUAUUCUGGCCUGUGUUAUUUUAUGUCCUCUUCCUCCUCCUUUCUUUUAAUUUUUUUAAUAAAAAUUAUUAAAUAGCAAAAAAGAAAAAAAAGAGAGAAGGCAUCUAUGGUAGAUGAGAGGGAAGGGCUCCCUGGGCCUCUGUACCACUGAUUCCUAGGAAGAGAGAAUUUCUGAGGGGCUUGCUCAUUUCCAGGCUGAACUACACUUAAAUUACCCCCACGGGCAUUCACAAACGGAGGAGGAACUCCAACGUAUCAUUUUUGGGAACUUUUAAAAUUAAACAUUAUCAAAUAUCCUUUUUGUACUAGGAAGGAUCUUUACAGACUUUGAUCCAAAACCAGAAUAGGUCCUAUUGUUUAAGGACUCAGCCAAUAGGAUGAAAACAAAGAGGACCAGGGGCAUGAUUCAGUGGCAGUGCACUUUCUAGCGUGGGUUAGGUCCUGCGUUCUCUCCCCAGCGACACUCAUUCAGGAAGAUGUAUGAAACCUCACAAGCUGUAAAAAGUUUUAUGCAGAUAAUAAUUAUGCAAAAGGAAACCAAGGUGAAUCCUGCAACCGCAGUUUCUCCUGUCAGCAUCUGUGGCCGUUAUGGGCAGGCUGGCUCAGCAGAGCCUGCAGAGCCUGCAGGGGGCCUUGGUCUUCAAGCUCUCUGCGAGCUAGAGUCACAGGAGUGAAGGGGGCUGGGUGGCCCAGGCGGAGAAGGCGAUGCGCAGGGGGCCUGCAGCCGGCAAGGCCACAGAUGCAGAGCCACGUAAUGAGGAAGUGGGGAGCUGGGGCGUCCGGUCCAUCGUGUGUGGUGGGACAUCAGGAUACAAGGGUGCAGUUCAUGGAAGCCUCGACCCUGUGGCAGGAGCGUGUGUCUGAAGGUCACACUGGCGCUUUGGAAAGGUCAAUAGCCGAGUACCGGGGAUCAAACUCAUGACCUCACGCUUGCCAGGCAGGUGCUUAUGCCACUGAGCUAAAUCCCCAGCCCUACCAAGCUAUCUUUGAAUGCACAGUCCUCCUGCCUCAGUCUUCCAAGUAGCUGAGAUUACAGGUAUGUGCUACUGUGCCUGACCUAAAUCUCUUUUCUUUAUAAAGUAUCCAACCUCAUGUAUUGUAUUAUAGCAACAGAAAGAAGACUAACACAGUGUCUUAGUAUAUGAAAACUGAGGAGGAAGCCACAUAAAAGUUAAUUCCAAACAACACCAUCCUUGUUCACUGAAGACCACACAGCAAAAUAUAUCAUAAGUGUGAAUGAGCAGGAAAAAAUUCAAUACAUAUACAUCGUAUCAAUGUGUGUAAUUUCCUUGUGCUUUUUUUGGUCUGUUUUUGUAUAGCAAUUCUGAACUACUGAUCAAAGUCUAAUUUUUAUUAGAAAAAUGUAAGUGUGUGUCUGGACUUCAUCAACUUCCAAAGGGUAGGACCAUACCUAAACAUCGUUUUCCAGAGCUCUGCAUUCAGUGGAUUGAAUUAAAUUGACCCUGAUUCAUUCAUUUUUUUCCACGAAGCAGGAGUCCAGAUUUGUCUCCAAACCAACCUUAAGUCACCCAUCACAGCUCACAUUGGACAAAUCACAAAAGUCCUCAUUCCUCUAUCAUUCCUAAUUCUGUUAUCUUGCAUAUAUGCUUAUUUCCUGCUUUUGUAAAGAAAAAUCCUAUCACAGUUACAUCCAUGUGAAAGAGCCCAACACAGAGACAGAAAGGACUAGUGUGGAAAUAUAGUGGGCACUUGGGACUGUCAGCAGGUCAUGCAGUCACCUGCCUCGUCCUGCAGGACCACUACCUCAUUCUCUCCAGAGAUGGCACGGGACCAUCUAUCUCCAUGGUCUCCUUCAUCUCUGAAAUCCUUUGAACUCUACCUUGAUGGUAAGGAGGGCUUCCAAUGCUUAGCUACCUCUGAUCACCAACCUUGGGUCAAAAUGCUCCAAAAAGUCAGGGAGUUAGUUCUGCAUAGUGUGGCCGUGCUCAUCAGAGGUGAAGCAGGGAGUAAGGUAGCACAGGUUGGCACUGGUAGGUGGCAAACAUGACCUGUAAGUCUGAAAGUGGUGCUGGGAAGACUGCCCCACUAAGGAAGGGGCACAGGGUCUGGCAGCCUGAAGAUCACUUGAGUCUGAAGCUGAUACAACAGAGUGACCCUCACCCCGAGGGGCCUUUGAGUGAAUCAGUGCCUUACAGGCAGCACUGAGAAGGAUUCACCCCAGUGAGGGGAAAAAGCCAUUCUCAGAGCGCAUCCAGGUUGGGGGCCCCUGGGCCAGGCAAGGAUGCUCCUUGUUAAUGUCUCCCUGCUGUCUUUGCUUGAGAUGUGGAAAGGUGCACAUCGGAAGACGACCCUAACACCCUGAGACAUGCUGGAGACAAGGAGAGACCUUUGGAAUAGAAAAGAAAUCUUGGUCAUGUAGUUUCAUGUUGUUUUCUGAUUUUUUUUUUUUUUUUCCCUGUGCUGGAGCCUGAACCCAGGCCUUUGCCUGGAGCUAUAUUCCCAGUACUUUUUAUGUUUUAUUUUGAUUCAGGGCCCUGCUAAGUGGCUAAACUGCCCAGGCUGUGUUCAAACUUGCAGUCCUCCUGCCUCAGUCUUUCCUGAUGCCUGAGAUUACAUGCAGACACCACUAGGCCCGCUUGAGUUGCCUGUUAUUUCUGGUUUUUGCUUAGCGGUGUUGGGGAUCAGGCCGAGGGCCUUGUGCACUGCGUAAGCAGUCUGCCUCUCUCAUUCCCAGCCCUCUAUCUCUUUUUUAAAACAUUAAAGUUUCAACUUUAUGAGUUUAGAGCUUUAGAAGGUUGGCUAAAGGGAAUUCAGGGAAAUUCUGCUGCCUGGCUCUGGAGGAAGGAGGUCUGUUCACCAGCAGCCCUGGGGUCCGUUGAUGUUAUGUCACCCUGGGAUGCAGCGAUGUUCUUAUAUCAGCACAGGCUCAGCCGCUACUGUGACCCCUGACCAUCUAGAGCAGUCUCUGGACCCUCCUGUUUCCAAAAAGAGUCAAGGCUGCCCAGAAAACCAUAGUGAAGUUAAGCUCAUACACCAUGAGCACGGGAGGCAAAGCGGGGACCAGCGCAGGGGCAGGAACAGUGGGCUCGGGAGAGCUGGCUUGAGAACUCAAUGCAGCUGUCAGACCCGUGCUGCGCAAUCCUCCUAUCGGUAGGACAGAGCGUCUGAAGGGAUGGACCAUCAUCAGCUUCCCGGGUCACGCCAGAGAAUCACCUCUGGCCACUGCUGUGAAUGCUGCUUGAACCUGGCCUCGUAGACCCUGUCCAGGGGACAUUUCCAAGUGCUCGGUCCAUCGGACCGUGGAGCCCCAGGUCCCCACAGCUGCUGUGCACGUGUUCGUCUCGGGCAGUGCUGGGGACGGAGUCCCGAGUUCCCGCACGCUGGUUAAAUGUUCUGCCCCUGGACCUGGCUCCAGCCCGGUUUCAGCUUUCUAAGGAAAGGUGGCGAUCCCAGGACACAGCUAGCUGGGAAACGCGGGAAGAGGUGUCACCGGGCC